AGAAGAAGCAGACAAUGAUCAGCAGGGACAGGCUGGAAAUGAAGAUGCACACGCUAUUAACGAAGAGGGAGAACACAUUGAAAUGCAAGUAAUAGAACACCACGAUAUUCCAGAAGUGGAAUCCCUUGAAUUGCCUGCUCUGCAACCAGCGAUGGAACAAGCCUGUAGAGGGGAUGAAAGUGCAUCUUCCUCAGGUA